GAUGAACGCUGGCGGCGUGCUUAACACAUGCAAGUCGAGCGGGCAAUUUAUCUAGCACUGAUUACUUCAAAUGGCUAUCGCCAGUGUAAUCAUGAAUUUCUACCUUUUAAUAAAGAAAAAAGAAAUUCAUGUAUGCAAAUAGUGAUAACACAUGAAAGUGGAGUGAUGAGUGCUGGAUAAAUUGCUAGCGGCGGACGGGUGCGUAACACGUGGGUAACCUGCCCCUAUCACUGGGAUAACACACUGAAAAGUGUGCUAAUACCAGAUAACAUAAGCUUUUGGCAUCAUUAGCUUAUCAAAGAAUUUCGGAUAGGGAUGGGCCCGCGUCUGAUUAGCUAGUUGGUGAGGUAACGGCUCACCAAGGCAACGAUCAGUAGCCGACCUGAGAGGGUGAUCGGCCACACUGGAACUGAGACACGGUCCAGACUCCUACGGGAGGCAGCAGUGGGGAAUAUUGCAC
rnacentral:rRNA from 1 species